CCCCCCAGGAGGCCUCUCCCGGCGCGUCCCACCCCAGCCUCACCCCGAGGGGCGCCAGCAACCAGAGCCUGCGCUACUGCCAAGGCCCAGAGCGGAAGAGCCGGGCCUCGGACGCGGUUAGGACAGGCGGGGAGCCUGGAGGGCUCCCCUGGGCUGGAUCCUCCGUCCCACAGCAGAGGCAGAAGCAGCAACAGGAGCCCUCCGAGGAGGCUGCAGUCGGGUGCUAUUAUUACUUCCUCUGGUUACUCAACUGCUAUUAAUAACAUCUAAGCUGAUAUGAGUGCGGUGCUUUCCUUGAAGAAUUCCAGGAAAUGAAAACUCAUUUUGAAGGAGGCUUUGCCCAGCAUUUCUUCUCCAUUCCGAGGAGGAGGACCUCAUCCUCACGGCAGCCACAGCGUCCGGUAUUGGAGUUUUCGAGUUAGUGACAAGCCAACAGAUUUGAAAAAACUAAACUGACUGUUAUAAAGAGCACUUUAUUAAUUUUGUUGACAAAGGUUGUUCAAUUUGAAUUAUUUAUGAUGCUCUAUUGUCCACUGGAGACAGCCCACAACUCAUUCAAUAGGAGGCAAUCAGCAGUGUAACCUGAGACCUUAGCCUAUCUCUCAACUUUCCAAUCCUUCUAACGAGGAAAGGCAGGUGUUUUCAAGAAAGAAGAGUUAUUCAUUUAUUCAAUAAAUAUUUAUUGAUAUUGAAAUGAUAAUUUAUGGUAAGUGAUAAUAAUAGGGUUAUGACAGUAAGUGGGGCUGUAACCAGUUAAAUGGAAAAUCACGGGUUAUAGUUCCAUAAACAUUCUGUUUUUCUAUAAAAACUACUUCACCACAAUCUUAUACACCCCAAAGCAAUUGUAUCUUCUGAGUAUUCAGGAAGGUCAUGAGUGGCAUCUUAUGAGCCAAACUGUGCCCUGCCCAUCACCACCCAAAUUCAUGUGAUGGGUGCCCGACCCUAGUACUUCAGAACACAUUUGGAGAUAAGGUCUUUAAAGAAGCAGUGAAGGUCAGAUGAGGUCCUUCGGAUGGGCCCUGAUCCAGUAUUUCCAGUGUCCUUAUGAGAAGAUGAAGUUAGGACAUGGAUACACAUAGAAGAACGAACACAUGAAAACACGGGGAGAAGUUGGCCCUCUACAAGCCAAAGAGAGACACCCUGCCAACACCUUGGUC